rnacentral:rRNA from 1 species
GAUGAACGCUGGCGGCGUGCUUAACACAUGCAAGUCGAACGGAAAGGCCCAAGCUUGCUUGGGUACUCGAGUGGCGAACGGGUGAGUAACACGUGGGUGAUCUGCCCUGCACUUCGGGAUAAGCCUGGGAAACUGGGUCUAAUACCGGAUAGGACGAUGGUUUGGAUGCCAUUGUGGAAAGUUUUUUCGGUGUGGGAUGAGCUCGCGGCCUAUCAGCUUGUUGGUGGGGUAAUGGCCUACCAAGGCGUCGACGGGUAGCCGGCCUGAGAGGGUGUACGGCCACAUUGGGACUGAGAUACGGCCCAGACUCCUACGGGAGGCAGCAGUGGGGAAUAUUGCACAAUGGGCGCAAGCCUGAUGCAGCGACGCCGCGUGGGGGAUGACGGCCUUCGGGUUGUAAACUUCUUUCGCUAGGGACGAAGCGUUUUUGUGACGGUACCUGGAGAAGAAGCACCGGCUAACUACGUG